ensembl:lncRNA
AACGGGUCUCAGUCCUUGCAGACACGUAGGCACUUCACCAGAAACCAAACGUGCUGUAAGGCAAAGCCGAAGUCUCCGGCGUCUGCGCCUAAGGCUUCCACCAGGACGGGCGGAAAGAGCCGAGGGCGCUCGGACACCGCUCGCCCACCUUCGGCCGCAAUCGUCAAGGGGCGGGGCCCCGCUUCGGCACGUUCCGCGCGGGGCAUUGUGGGAAGGGCGGCCGGUGCAGCCCCAGCUGCCAUCUUAGGGACGCCUUGCGUUGCGGCCUUCACGUUGAGGCGGCCUUCGCGGCGGCUGAGGACCUCGCGGACAGGCGGAAAGUGCGCUGGCCGACGGCUUUCCUCCCUCCGGCCUCGUCGGGAAGAUGGGCCGGUCCCGCAGCCGGAGCUCGUCGCGCUCCAAGCACACCAAGAGCAGCAAGCACAACAAGAAGCGCAGCCGCUCCCGGUCGCGGUCCCGGGACAAGGAGCGCGUGCGGAAGCGCUCCAAGUCUCCGUGAGAUUAAACGUAACCGGCGGCUGUAAGUCGCGCUCGCGCUCGCGCUCCACCAACGCGGCGUUGUCCCGGCGCGAGCGGGACCGGGAGCGCGCCUCGUCCCCGCCGGAACGCAUCGACAUCUUUCGGGCGCACGGUGAGCAAGCGCAGCAUCCUGUACGAGAAGCAGAAGCCGGAUGAAGAGGAGAAGAAAACCGACUUUGAUCGGCAAGCGGAAGAUGUGAGCUCCCUCGGGGGGGAGGGCCGGUCCGCCCUUGGGCCAGAGCUUGGGGUCGUCGGACGGAGGCCGCGGCCUUUUUGCUCGCGAAGAGCGCUCCCGGAAAGUCGGGGGCGGAGUUGGACGCGGGGGGCGCCCCCGGGGCCCGGGGUCGGGCCGGGGGGCGCAGGUGGCGGCUGCCCGGAGCGGGCUUCCAGGCCGGAGCUUAAAUUGGGCCGGGGCUUUGCGCGAUAAGGCCCUUCUGGGGGUCCAUCAGAAAAAAACAAAAAAAACCCACGCGUGUUUAAUUUCGUGCGUUCCUGUUGUUAAAGGCUGCUCUUUCUUGCCUGGAGCUUGCCUGCUCCCCACCGGCCUUGCACACUAAGAAGGAAAAUACAGAACGCGUGGUUUUUUCUUUUUUUUUUUUUUUUAAGCUUUUGCUGUUGAUCCUUUAGUAAGCAGGUUAGGUUCCCUCGUUUCCUCUGCAGCGUAUUUGUUAAAAGACACCUGACUAGUUGCUUCUGUUUCUGCGCUGCACGUAUGUAGGAUUUUCCUGGGGAGAGAAUCAGAGUAAGGUUCAAGCAGUCUGCUCUCAAGAGUCCUUGGCUCCAAGUAUAGAUGUGGGUAAUCCCACACUAAAUGAACUUGUAGUUUUAAAAGCUCAGGGUUUUGUUGUGUUUUUUAACCUUAAGAGUACUGAACUUGGAUUCCCAGAGGUCGCAUUGAAAAGUAGUUACUCAGAUGUGCUAACUGUGUAACCAUUGCCGUCCUUCUUCAUUGCUCUAGCGAAUGCUUAGAAAGUGCUCAUGUGUUAACUGAAUUUAUGAUUUUUCUGAGAUUUAUUUUUUUGUGAACUGAAUUGUCUGGGUGUUUUAUUACGUUUUUCUGCAGUUGGAUUGCUGCCAUGUGUAUGUGAUAGCCGAUUCAUUUCUAAAAACAGUUAUUAAGAGAUGGGGACUGGAACAGUAAUUAUCGGGGAAGCAGAACCUGGAGCUAUUUUGCAGCCAAUACACUUUUAAAACAUGCAACUCUUAAACUUUUUUGCGUUCUUUGAGCUUAGUAAUAUGUGUAAAAGCAAAGUUUAACUAUUUCACAGUAAACUUUGUGUAGAGUCCAGCUUUUUGGUUUGGAACAAGGAGUUAGCUGUAAAAAUGCCCCCAAAUAACUCUAAACAGAUGAACUACUACCUAAGACAUCACUGAGUUAACUUUUCCAGAUGAAAGGAAAGGAGAUUUCCAGAGAGUUAUAGCCUGCGUUUUACAAGAAAGCUGAAACUUACAGGAAAAGUGAAAAGUGUACCUAGUAUGCUAAGAAUCAUUAGAAGCAUUUAGCAAGGUGCACAUACAUGGUCAGUGGAGAAGAAAUCCAGAGAUGAAAUGAUGGAAGUAGAGCAACUAUAUGGUUCUAGCUUGAAGGCAGAAGCAAACUGCCAUUAGCAUGUAGGAGAGGGAAGAGAAAGGGCUUGCAGCCACGUGUACAUUAAAUUCCUGUGUACCAUGCAGUUGUCAUUACUUUCUGAAUGUCUUAAUGCUUAAUAGUGCCAAGGAAAAAAGUGGAUGUUUGUGCCCUUAGGAAUGGUGAGGUAGAGGAAGUAGUGGUCUGUCUACAGUCCUUGCUGGUUAGUUUUUUUUUUCCUUCUUCCUGUCCUGUCCUGUCCUGUCCUCCCUCUCCCUGCCUCCCUGCCUUCCUAGAUCUGAACAACGGAGAGAGAGCUUCCAUCCACAGGUUCACUCCCAGAUGGCUGCAACAGCCUGGUCUGGGUCAGGUCAGAGCCAGGAACCAGGAACUCCAUCCUGGUCUCUCACAUGAGUUAGCAGGAGCCACUUCGAUAGUCUUCAUUGCCUUCCUAAGUGUUUUAGUGAGUAUCUGUAUUGGAAAGCCAAGGAGCUGGACCUCCUGCAAGGAGUAGCUUAACUGCUGCACCACAAGUCUGGACUCCCUCCCCACCAAGAUCUUGAUCUAUUAGAGGACACACAGUUAAAUGGGUAAUAAUACAGUAUAGUGAAUUCAGUGAUGAUAUUGUGACAGUAUAAAGGAAGCAUCCUAAGUGGGUAAAUACCUUAAGUUGUCCUAAACAAUGGGUGGAGACUAUAAGAACAUGAGACUGUCCCGUGGGGCAUAGGAUACAUGUGGAUCAGUAGAGAGAGCUUUUUCCUCCCAUUCCUGCUAGAAUAAAGAAAAUGAGGGGAAAUGGUCUUUUUUUUUU